UCAGUCAUACUCCGAUUUCACCAUGAUAUUUUUGGUCAUUUUACUAUAACAUUCCAGCAAGGUUUUUAAAAUUGUUUGUACUCAUAUUUUUAAGACACCACCUUGCUGAGUAGCACGAUGGCUUCCUCUACAGCUAGCACCAAAGCAGACACCACCUUGCUGAGUAGCAUGAUGGCUUCCUCUACAGCUAGCACCAAAGCAGACCCAUUUUCCUUGGAAAACAUUAAUGAUAACUCUACAGCUAACACUAUAGCAGACACCACUUUUUUGAGUAGCACCAUGUCUGCCUCUACCGCUAGCACCAAAGCAGGUGAGAACUGUGUGCUUAUAAUCUGUUUAUUAUAAUGUUGCCAUCCUGGUUUCACACACAUUUGUCAAACAAAUAUGAAAUUAUAUACACACAGUUAU
rnacentral:lncRNA from 1 species